CUGAAUGGAUUGAAACAUUUCCUGUGUGUACAGAAAUGAUUAAAAGCUUCUCAAACUUUAGUUUUGAAAGGUGUGCCUCUGAGUCAGGAAAUAGCGUCAUAGCCAGACAAUAAACACUGACUUAAUCAAGAUAGAAGCUGUUUAACGUAGAUAAACACAGUGUAAAAGUAGCUGAACAGUAAUCAGCAACAAGUGAUCAUUCAGACUCUUUGUGUCAGAGGCAGAGGGACAGUUUGCAUUUGAGUGAACUCACCAGUUAUGGAUUCCAACAGACAAGGAAUUAUUUCUUUCUUACUUCUUGUUCAAGGAUGUGUAAUGCCAAGACAUACAAGGCUAUAAGUGAAGUGCUGGAAAAUGGGAUUAGAAUUGUAAGGUGGCUGUUUUUGACCAGCACAGUCUCAAUGGGUCAAAGGGCAUUUUUCUGUGCUUUAGACCUUUAUGACUCUACAAGUUGCCAUGAAUCUCCUUCUCAAUCUGUGCCCUCACCUGAGAUAUGGUGGCCCUCUGGUUAAACCACCACCAAACACUUCUGUCUAACAAGACAGCAACUCCAUGGU